rnacentral:rRNA from 1 species
UACGUAGGGUCCGAGCGUUGUCCGGAAUUAUUGGGCGUAAAGGGCUCGUAGGCGGUUCGUCACGUCGGGAGUGAAAACUCGGAGCUUAACUCCGAGCCUGCUUCCGAUACGGGCAGACUAGAGGUAGGCAGGGGAGAGCGGAACUCCUGGUGUAGCGGUGGAAUGCGCAGAUAUCAGGAAGAACACCGGUGGCGAAGGCGGCUCUCUGGGCCUUACCUGACGCUGAGGAGCGAAAGCGUGGGGAGCGAACAGG